GCACAACUCUGAUCGGUGGAUCACUCGGCUCGUGUGUCGAUGAAGAGCGCAGCCAACUGUGUGAAUUAAUGUGAACUGCAUAAUGCUUUGAACAUCGACAUCUUGAACGCAUAUUGCGGCCAUGGGUUAGCCUGUGGCCACGCCUGUCCGAGGGUCGGCU
rnacentral:rRNA from 1 species